UGCGAGUGAAGCGGCAAAAGCUCAAAUUUGAAAUCUGGCGUCUUUGAUGUCCGAAUUGUAAUUUGGAGGGGCAACUUCAGAAUUGGCGCUGUCCUAAGUUCCUUGGAACAGGACGUCAUAGAGGGUGAGAAUCCCGUGCCUGGAUGGCUGUCCAAUUCUAUGUGAAGUGUCUCCAACGAGUCGAGUUGUUUGGGAAUGCAGCUCAAAAUGGGUGGUAAAUUUCAUCUAAAGCUAAAUAUUGGCGAGAGACCGAUAGCGCACAAGUAGAGUGAUCGAAAGAUGAAAAGCACUUUGAAAAGAGAGUUAAAAAGUACGUGAAAUUGUUGAAAGGGAAGCGCUUGAGACAAGACUCAACCUUAGGCGAUCAGCCAUGCUUCUGUGUGGUGCACUUGCCUUUGGUUGGACCAGCAUCGGUUUUGACGGUGGGAUAAAAGGUGAAGGAAUGUGGCUCCCCUUGGGGAGUGUUAUAGCCUCUAUCAUAAUGCCACCAGUUGGGACCGAGGACCGCGCUUCGGCUAGGAUGCUGGCGUAAUUGUCUUAAGCGACCCGUCUUGAAACACGGACCAAGGAGUCUAACAUCUAUGCGAGUGUUCGGGUAGAAAACCCUUGCGCGUAAUGAAAGUGAACGGAGGUGGGAACCCCUUGGGGUGCACCAUCGACCGAUCCUGAUGUCUUCGGAAGGAUUUGAGUAAGAGCAUAGCUGUUGGGACCCGAAAGAUGGUGAACUAUGCCUGAAUAGGGUGAAGCCAGAGGAAACUCUGGUGGAGGCUCGCAGCGGUUCUGACGUGCAAAUCGAUCGUCAAAUUUGGGUAUAGGGGCGAAAGACUAAUCGAACCAUCUAGUAGCUGGUUCCUGCCGAAGU
rnacentral:rRNA from 1 species